GGGGGGGGGGGGGGGGGGGGGGGGGGGGGGGGGGGGGGGGGAGCGGGGGCGGGGGGUGGUCGGCGGAGGUUGGCGGCGGAGUGGUGGUUCACCCGUGGGUCCCGUAUCUGUACGGCUGUCAUAACUUCAGGACCCCUUAGAUGGUCUGUGAUGAGAUCUUGAACCUCCUUGUUCACUAUUGACCGACGUGUUUUCUGUGACAUCUGGCUGUAUCGGCGCCGCAUUAGCUAGUUGGUAAGGUAACGGCUUACAAAGGCAACGAUGCGUAGCCGACCUGCGAGGGUGAUCGGCCACACUGGAACUGAGACACGGCCCAGACUCCUACGGGAGGCAGCAGUAGGGAAUCGUCCGCAAUGGGCGAAAGCCUGCCGGAGCAACGCCGCGUGAGUGAUGAAGGUCUUCGGAUCGUAAAACUCUGUUAUUAGGGAAGAACAAAUGUGUAAGUAACUAUGCACGUCUUGACGGUACCUAAUCAGAAAGCCACGGCUAACUACGUG
rnacentral:rRNA from 1 species